AGGAGGAGCAGCAGCCACCACGGCACUCUGCAGGGCACAGGCAGCUCUCCCUGCACCUCCUGCCCGGGUUGAGCUGGGCUGCAUUGCCAGGAUCCCCAUGAGGAAACGGCACAGCCCAGGGGGGCCGUGGUGGAGGCAGCUCCUGCGCUCCGGGUGCUGGCAGCUCCUGUCCCUCUCCAGGAACACUCUGCGGGGGCUGCAGUGGCUCUGGAGGCUGUUGUGGUACCUUCUGAUCUGCUACACAAGCUGCUGGGACAUGGCCUUCCAGUUUGCUGAGGAGCUGCUGAGGGUGGACCACGACAGUGAGGCGAGUGAGGAAGAGGAGGAUGGGACCACUGCUGCUGUGCUGGAGCCUGAGCAGACAGUGAUGCCUGGGCAGUGCUGGAGCUGCAGAGGCUGCGCGAUGCCAACGAGGCCACGCUGGGGAGGUUGGAGGCGCUGGAGGACGAUGUCCGCUUCCUCUGCACCGAGCUGGGGGCAGAGAAACUGCUGUGGAGCAGUCGGUUCCUGGAGCUGCUGAGGGAGCAGCAAGAGCUGCGGCAGCGGGUCCUGCAGAGGGACAGCAGAGACAGCCCUGAGCUGCCGGGAGAAGCCGAGGAGCUGAAUGGGAAUGAGGGAGAGGAUCCUGCAGGUAGAGCUGGGGACAUGGGGUUGCAGCAGGGGAACAGGGAGCUGAUGUUUGGGGAAGGGGCUCGCAGCCCCUGCACACUGCCAAAGGACUCCACUGGAUGGAGCAGCGCUGACAGCUCGUCCCAUGCCCAGGCAGCUUCUGGGAGCCCGGGGCUCUGUGCCAGGCAGGAGCUGUAAGUGCCACUGUGAGUCGGGUACCAGGGGAUUGCUCAGCCCAGAGCUGGGACAGUACAGUCCUCUCCUGUUCCCAUAUCCCCGUAUGUGCCCAUCUCAUCAGCCUCAUCUCGUAGCAUUUGGUGCCAGCCAGGCCCUGCCUGGUCCUGCCCAGCCCUGCCUUGCCCAGCCCAUUUAGCAGAACUGCAGCCAUUUCCCAAAAGCACAAAGCUGCCAGGAGGCAGCUCGCAGUGAGCCGGCUCCCCAUGCACUUGGAGAUGGGGUCCUGGCCGCAUGUGGCUCCUACUGCAGCCAGUGCUGGGCUGGAAUAUGGUGCUGCAAGUUAUCCUUGUGCUCAGCACAAAAACCUUGGAGCCAAGCACCACCCAAGGCCACACACUGCAUCCUGCUCUGCCCCAGGGCAAGUUACUGCUGUCCCUGCUGCCAGGGCCACACACAGGCUGUGUCCAUAGCAUACACAGUGCUCCCUGGGGACCCAGCCAGCAUCUUCCUCAUCUGUUGCAAUGCAUCGGGAGUGUCCCGGAACAAGGCUUGUGGACACUGAAAGUUCCCACCAUCACCUUUCACAAGCUGGAGGAGCUGUGGCAAGGGAGGGAUUGCAAAACCCAAGCACAGCCCCAUUUACUUCCUUCUCGGAUGAAUGCAUCCCCUCCAUCAGCAUCUUCCCACACAUGUUGCAACUCCAACAGGCCUCUGGUGGAGGGACUCAUGGUGGGGAAACAGCUCAGGAUGGGAGGUGAGGAUUUGCUCCAAUGCAAGCAUGGAGCAGCCAACACCAACCCACCUCCACCAAAGCAGUGGGGCAGGGGGCUGCAUGCCCUCAGCCCCUCUUCUGCUGCUAUGAAAUAAAGGACAGCUGCAUCCU
ensembl:lncRNA